rnacentral:rRNA from 1 species
CCUACGGGAGGCAGCAGUGAGGAAUAUUGGUCAAUGGACGCAAGUCUGAACCAGCCAUGCCGCGUGCAGGAAGACGGCUCUAUGAGUUGUAAACUGCUUUUGUACGAGGGUAAACGCAGAUACGCGUAUCUGUCUGAAAGUAUCGUACGAAUAAGGAUCGGCUAACUCCGUGCCAGCAGCCGCGGUAAGACGGAGGAUUCAAGCGUUAUCCGGAUUUAGUGGGUUUAAAGGGUGCGUAGGCGGUCGGAUAAGUUAGAGGUGAAAUCCCGAGGCUCAACUUCGGAAUUGCCUAUGAUACUGUUCGGCUAGAGAGUAGUUGCGGUAGGCGGAAUGUAUGGUGUAGCGGUGAAAUGCUUAGAGUUCAUACAGAACACCGAUUGCGAAGGCAGCUUACCAAGCUACUUCUGACGUUGAGGCACGAAAGCGUGGGGAGCAAACAGGAUUAGAUACCCUAGGAGUC